rnacentral:rRNA from 1 species
AUUGAACGCUGGCGGCAGGCCUAACACAUGCAAGUCGAGCGAGUGGCGGACGGGUGAGUAAUGUAUGGGAAACUGCCUGAUGGAGGGGGAUAACUACUGGAAACGGUAGCUAAUACCGCAUACCAUCAGAUGUGCCCAGAUGGGAUAAGCUAGUAGGUGGGGUAAAGGCUCACCUAGUCGACGAUCCCUAGCUGGUCUGCGAGGAUGACCAGCCACACUGGAACUGAGACACGGUCCAGACUCCUACGGGAGGCAGCAGUGGGGAAUAUUGCACAAUGGGCGCAAGCCUGAUUCAGCCAGGCCGCGUGUGUGAGGAAGGCCUUCGGGGUGUAAAGCACUUUCAGCGGGGAGGCGUUACUCGCAGAAGAAGCACCGGCUAACUCCGUGCCAGCAGCCGCGGUAAUUC